UUUCUUUUCAAGGGAGAUAAAAAAGAGACACAAAAGAAUGUGAGAAAAAAGGAUAAGCUUCGGUUUACUUAUCAAGAAACACUGGAUCUUUUUAGCUUGGUUUUACAAGACGUGAACUGGACUACAGUACCAUCAAGGAUGAGUAAAAAAAAUCACAUUCCAAGAACAGACAGUGAUUACAAAGCAAAACUUGAAACAGAGUUCAAGAAAUUAUAUCCACCGAAGUCUUGAAACCGCAAAAUAAAUAGAUAUUAAUAACUGA
rnacentral:sRNA from 1 species